CAGCCGCCGCGGGAAAACGGAGGGUGCAAGCGUUAAUCGGAAUUACUGGGCGUAAAGCGCACGCAGGCGGUCUGACAAGUCAGAUGUGAAAUCCCCGGGCUUAACCUGGGAACUGCAUUUGAAACUGUCAGGCUGGAGUCUUGUAGAGGGCGGUAGAAUUCCAGGUGUAGCGGUGAAAUGCGUAGAGAUCUGGAGGAAUACCGGUGGCGAAGGCGGCCCCCUGGACAAAGACUGACGCUCAGGUGCGAAAGCGUGGGGAGCAAACAGGAUUAGAUACCCCUGUAGUCCCUGUCUCUUAUAC
rnacentral:rRNA from 1 species